rnacentral:piRNA from 1 species
GGAAUGAGGAAGAGGUUUGGAGAAU